rnacentral:lncRNA from 1 species
AACGAUAAAAUAAACAAAAUUGCAAUGUUUGGUUAAGUGGUCCAAAGAAAACUAUAAUGGGUGAAAAUAAGCGCCUACUAAAAUUUCAGGGACGAAACAUGACAUUGUCACUCUUUGAGGUAACAGAUGGGGUCCUCUUGCCCGAAUUCGGAUAAAACCAGUUUAACCCGACCCAGAUCUAUGCGAACCGACCCGGUUUGAAAAAAGGCGUCGGACAAUCCCCAAUCUCUCGUCGUUCGACGGGGCCAUUCGUUUCUCACUUUCCGGUUUUUCUUCGAUUUGCAACGUUGUGAAUGCUUACACAUCUAUGGGUAUGUUCUUGCUUUGUUAAAAAGCACGGAGCUUUACGUCCUUCUCUCAAGAAUUUCAGUAUCUUCCAUGAAGUUAGUAAAUUUAUCUGUAUUUAUAUGAUGAGAUCAUAACUACGCAAAUUAAUAGUGUUGUACAUUGUUGCACAAGAUGUCUCUUUUGAGUUCGACUAAUAAUUCAAUUUUUAGACGAAUCCCUCAAGCUAACAAAGGAAAUCAAAGGCUUUUCAUUUCCUGUGUGAUUAUCAUAAAAAGGUUGUUGCACUCUUCUAAAGCUUAUUUGUUCUUCUCAAUUCCAGCUGAAACCAUUUAAAUCAAACUGUUUAGGACGCGUUGUGCCAUAGUUUUCGUCGUGUGUGUUAAGAUCUAGAGCUGUUCUUGUGUGUGUUUCAAGCUUGCAAUCUUCAUUAUUCUCGUUGAAUCUUUCUUCUGUAUACUCACUGUUGUUGCUACUCCUUCCUCUGUGUUCAUGUAAUCCCACUCCUAUUGACAAUCUUCCAGGACUUCUUCUUGAAGACGAGAUUCUCGGUUCUGCGUUGUUAACCAUUGUUGAAAGAUAUGGCCUGUUGUGAUUCUCUCUGAGGCUUUCUUCUUCUGCCCAUGUGAGCUCCAUUCUAUGGAAGAAUGGCUCUUCCAUUAUCUCUUUCUGCUCUGAAGUUGAAUCUCCAAUAUAUGUUCUUAAUCCCAGUCUGUUGUCAAGCAUCUUUGGGGCUUUCUGAGUUCCUUCACUUGAGGUUAGGCAACUGUCCAGGGAGGAGUUAGGUGGAUACGUUUUUUGCAUCUGUUGAUGGUGUAGAUUCUGCAGUUCUUUCGGUUCGAGGAAACUAGAGUCUGGAUAGUCUGCUGAUACUUUAGAUACUAAUUCUGAGAGUUGAGCUUUUGUUGCUUCAAUCCCAGCUGCACCUAGGUUCUGUCUUCCAAGAGUCUCUUGUGCUUUCUCCAGAAUCGAUUGCAGAGUACAGUAUAUGAUAGAUACCUCAAGUUGCUCGUGUAGCCGUCUCUGGACCUCUAUUUGCAUUUGAAGGGCAUCACUUAUGGGUAAGUUCCUGCGUGCACAAAUAUAGGUCAUUUUUGAGAAUCUACUAAGGUAGAAUAUGUAAGCAAAUAGGCAUAUCCUUACAUGCUCGGCUGUGGUCCAAUGCUUAAACUCUCACUGUGACUUUCGUCUACUUCAGGGGGGUUUUCUUCUACCAUGGUCAUCACACCUAAACCAGGUUGCUUUUAGUUUACUUGAAGGAAAAUAGUAUGAAAAAAGAAUGAAUCUUUAGAUUAAAAUAUUUUUGUAUCUGAGUAAUGAAUAACUAAGCUUACUUGUCUUGUUUAAACUGCUGUUAGCUUGUCCAUUAAGAUUCUUGCUUAGCCUAUAUUUCUGGUAGUCAAAUCAUGAUAUUAAUAAUCUUUGUAAAACAAAAAACAGAUAUUACAGAUUUUUCAUAUCUUGACAUAUCGUCAUUUUUGUGCUACUUUAAUAGUUUUCUACCAAUCGAAUUGAUGAACGAGUCAUGUAAGUUUAGGGCCUUGGGCAUAUGACUGUAUAAAGUGUUGAUGGAUUACCUGAAGAUGACUCUUGAGAUGGUAUAAGGUAAGGCCUGGAAUGCCCAUGACUUUCAUGAUUGUCUUAGGAGUAGCCUCUGCGCAGACAAAAGUAUACACAUUAAUACAUUAUGUUCAAAAAGCCUGAUUGUAAAAGAUGGUUCAUUUGCUUAUAAGAUAACUUACUAUCUCCUCCUCCAAGCUGGUUGACCGCUUCAACAAAUCUCUCGUGAAGAUCUGGAGUCCAUUUUAGUCGUGGCUUUGCAUCAGUGGAGAGAAUGAGUCCAGAAUCUCCUGUGCCAUUUCCUCUGAGGAACGGAUGCCUUUCAGAAGAAAUGGGCAUUCUCGAUGAAGAGAGGAUGCUCUUUCCUUGGUGCUGGUUGUGGUAAUACAUAAGUCUGUCUUCAAAAUAAAAAGGCCGGGGUCUCUCAAGAGUAAAAAGUCUUUGCAACUUUGCUUUAUAUAGAAAGUUGAAUGGCAAAAAGGCAAAUUAGAGGAUGAUAACUAAGGGGAAUUCAUUCUUUUUCCUUAUUCCUCAAUUUUUUCAAAGUCCACAGCUCCAACCUCUCUAUCUCUUGAGGGAGCAUAAUUCAACACGUGGGAUUGUGAUUCGCUUGAUUGAAUGAGAGAGGAUUGGAUACAUAAAACAGGAGGAAGCGGGAAAUGACCGCGGAAUUAUAUUCGUUUGGAGAGAAAAUGGAGGGUAAUAAGUGGGUUCGUUCAUGAGAUUCUAGAGAAUGAGAAUAUGAGAAUCCAAAACUAAAGAAAGCUUGGUGAGUCGCAUUCUCAACUCAAGAAUCUUUUUUGUUCAUCACAACCCGAACCCAAAAAAAAAAAGAGACUAUUCGGGUCUAUUUCUUUCCCCUUUUACUUAGUCUCGAUUUUUGUGGAUAUUUUAAUGAAUUGUGAUUCUUAUAAGCACAACAAAAGAUUAGGAGAAUCAUUGUAGGAGUUUUGUGUUCACCACAAGGCAGUGUUGUCUGCAUCCAACCGAAUCAUGUAGCAGUUUUGUUAUAUUGGUUUGAAUAUUAUGAAACUAUAAAAAAUCGAGGGCACUGCGACUGGACGCAAACGCAAAUGCUGGCUAAAUUAUUCGACAAGUCGGAUCAUUAUAAAGAGUUGAUUGUCUAGUUGCAAGUA